rnacentral:tRNA from 1 species
GCCGAGGUAGCUCAGCCUGGGAGAGCGCCCGGCUGAAGACCGGGUUGUCGUGCGUUCAAAUCGCACCCUCGGCACCA